UACGUAGGGGCCGAGCGUUGUCCGGAGUUACUGGGCGUAAAGCGCGCGCAGGCGGCCUCGCGCGCCCGACGUGAAAGCCCCCGGCUUAACCGGGGAGAGUCGUUGGGGACGGCGGAGCUUGAGGGCGGGAGAGGUCGGUGGAAUUCCCGGUGUAGUGGUGAAAUGCGUAGAGAUCGGGAGGAACACCUGUGGCGAAGGCGGCCGACUGGGCCGACCCUGACGCUG
rnacentral:rRNA from 1 species